UAUUGCACAAUGGGCGCAAGCCUGAUGCAGCCAUGCCGCGGGUGUGAAGAAGGCCUUCGGGUUGUAAAGCACUUUCAGCGGGGAGGAAGGCGAUAAGGUUAAUAACCUUGUCGAUUGACGUUACCCGCAGAAGAAGCACCGGCUAACUCCGUGCCAACAGCCGCGGUAAUACGGAGGGUGCACGCGUUAAUCGGAAUUACUGGGCGUAAAGCGAACGCUGGCGGUCUGUCAAGUCGGAUGUGAAAUCCCCGGGCUCAACCUGGGAACUGCAUUCGAAACUGGCAGGCUAGAGUCUUGUAGAGGGGGGUAGAAUUCCAGGUGUAGCGGUGAAAUGCGUAGAGAUCUGGAGGAAUACCGGUGGUGAAGGCGGCCCCCUGGACAAAGACUGACGCUCAGGUGCGAAAGCGUGGGGAGCAAACAG
rnacentral:rRNA from 1 species